CAGUGCUGCAAAUCAUGUAAAAUUUAUUUUGUUCUGAACCUUGAGCUUUUGCAACCAUAGUUCUCUGGCUGAUUAGGAGUACUGUCCUCUUUUUCUGGUCUUUGCUCUCAGAAAUUUUUGUUUCUCUUUCUUCCUACCUCCCAUCUGUUUUCUUUCCUCUUCCUCUCUGUCUAAUACAUGCACCUUCAUCACAUAGGUCCAGAAAUGAUAUCUGCAAGUAGAACUUUCAGAGCUUAAAACUUGUGAUUUCCUUAAGCUUGGUUAUGUAGUGACUAAACUGGCAACUGGAAAUACUCUGAUGCAAUUUCUUAUUGAUAUUUCAUGCUUGCUUCUCUUAUGUUUUCCUGAUAAAAACUUUAUGUUCUUUUUUUGGUUACUGCAGGCGUUCUAUAAAGUUUUUAGGAGCUGGGCUUCUAAAAAAUUCAUGACCGGAUGGAGCCACUCCGAGCUAGGAGAAAACUAAAGAGUGUUUUGGAGUCAAUAUGGAGUGUGGAAGGCCAAUCGAAGGUUAGCCCGAUCGAAAAGAGCGAGAAAAGCAAGCGGGGGGUCCCCUCCAGAUGUGCGGCCACGGAGUUGACCGCGAAUUGGACCGCGCACUGGAGGCAGAACACUGGCUGAAAUUCGCGGCCGCGGACGGGCGGACGGAGGCCAACAACUCAGGAGCAAUUAUGUAAUUUCUAAGGCGACUAACCUAAACCUAUAUGAAGCCUAAUUCGCCCAGAAGAGAAGGGGAGCUAUUUUUAGGAGUUUUUGGAGGCAAGAACAAGAGAGAGAAGACGAAGAAUUUCCUAAGAGUUUUCAUCUUCUUCUUCUUACUUCCAUUGUUGAUUAUGGAUUGUUAUAGUGAAUUUUUAUCCAUUAGUAUGAGUAGCUAAACCCAUCAUCUAGGGUUGAUGGAACCAAUUGUUAGAUGAAGCUUUGACUAUGUUUAGAUAUAAUUGAGUCGUUCUUAUUCUAUGA